ensembl:lncRNA
AUCCCUGUUCUGUUCUUCUGUUAUGUAUUAGAUUGUUUUUAUAAUUCAUGGCAGCGCUGAUGUUUCUCCACCAAUCAAUGGCCAUUACCUCGAUGAAGUGUGACAGAAAGUCAAACAUUAAUCGACUGCUCAACUCCAUCGUGCAAAUUUACUGUUAAUUGAUUCAUUUUGUUAAUGCUGAUAAAAUAGAAAAUAGUGUAUUUAUUUUAACGUUUUAAUUAACUGCAUGGAGAAGAGUGUCAAAUACAGCAACGUACAGAUGAUGCAUGUCAUUUUUUAUCCUCUUUAUGUUUUUAAGUCGUGAUUAAAAAUCUGGAUUUCGUGCUUUUGUAAAAUGUUGUAUGUACAGAAAAUAAAAAGCCUUAAAACUGGUCAGUGUUUAAUUUUGCUUUAUAGGUUUUUUAUCUUUUUUUUCUUUCAGAUUGUGUCAUUUAGUUGAUUCGGCACACGUUUGUUUUGUGUUCACUUACUUUCUGUGUGAUUUGUAUCAUGUGCAAAGUAAAACCAAAUCAAACAGAGAGCUUAAACGUGAGACCAUUUUAUUGUACUUUAAACUGAUCAGGGAAUAUUACUGCAUUACUCAGGUCAUAGAUAAAUAACACAGAGAAGCACCUAUAUCAUAUUACUCAAAGUGCAUCAUGUGCAUUUAGUAAGGGAGGUCCAUUCAUGUCCAAAAAGAGUAGACAAAAUCAUGAGUGAUGUCUUGAAUGUAAUCCCGUUGCAGACCACAAACAUGGCAGUCUUCUUCUUGGCCGAACAAGGAAAUCCCCAAGUGCAAAACUCUACUACAGAGUUUGAUCUUUUGUGUGAAUAUUUGUAGAACCAGUUCCAGAUUCUUCCAGUUUUCCACCUCUCUCCAACCACUGGUUUACCUGCAGUGUUAAAGCCUCAGUCAGGUUUCAUGUAUUUUCCUCAUUUCAGGCUGAAAACUGACCUAGUAUGAAAAUAAUGUGCACUUUAUUAUUCUCUCACUGUUGCCAUGUGAAACAUAUAACUCUAUUUCUAUUUUUUUAUCUGACAUUUCAAUGCUGUCUCAUUAAUAAAAACUUUAUUUCUAUAGUGCCACCUUUUUAAAAAAGAAAAACAGAGUUUAUCCAGUGCUUUAACAGAGAAGCAAAAACAAUCAUACAGAAUAUAAAUAAGUAUAAAAAAUAAAGAGAUUUUGAGGCAAUAAGAUGAUUAAUCCUAUUCUGAGUUACACAGAAGAGUCGCAAUUAAAAUCUCGCUGUAAAGCCAACACUUAUCCAUCAGUCAUCACCGACACAAGCAGACAUCUCAGUAAUAUUCAGCCAGAGACAGAGGAAAGGUGGUUAGAAAUCAAACAGCUUCUUCCUGUAGCAUAACAGGAGUUCCUCACUGAAUGACUCUGUCUGGCCAGCCUCAUGCAAAAUAAAUGAGAAAACAGACUGAAUGUAUGUGUGCCGAGCUGCUCUCAGCGUGUCAGAGCUCACAGAUCGCAGGAAGGUGUAAAACGCAAGUCUGACCUGAAUCUCCAAACCGCUCGCUGUGCACAGCAGCUGCAGGUGGAUCACAUCCGCCUCUUGCCCUGUUACUCAAUACCACAACAUAAAUACACAGUUGUGUGUGUGUGUGUGUGUGUGUGUGUGUGUGUGUGUGUGUGUGUGUGUGUGUAGACACAGAGACAGACAUUAAACUUGGGUUUGUUUAGAAAUGCCAUAGAUGCAUGCAGUGGUGGACUGUUAUUAACUCUCAGUGUGAACAUGUUUAAAGCCCAUUAGCAUUUACAUGUUUUAAAACCGUUUAAACUAGUUGGUAACACACAAUAGUGCAGCUGUGUGCUUGUGCUUUUCUUUUUUCACUUAAAGGUUUUGUAAAUUACUUCCAAAAUGAACUGAAGCUCUUAAGAACGGCCAGAACUUUAUGCCCAAAAUAUCGGUGUACCUGUGCUCCGCUUUCAUGUAUUAACCAAUUUGUGCCACAAGAUGGUGCAGUGAGUCAACCAGACCUGUCAUUAGGAGCACCUUCUUAAUUACGGUCAAAAGCUGAAGCCUUUCUAGGACAUGGAAGUAGGGCUGAAAAUAAAACUCAAAGGUUAAGAAAAAAUAUUUAGCACUGGUGAAAUGCUGCCCCCUGGUGGAGUUUAAGGUAAGACUUGCACAGAGUGAUUACAGAAAGUGCCAGUUUGUUGUUCAUUAAGACACAGGAGCAGGAAAAAGUCUGCAUUAACCCACUGAGUAUAUAUUAAAGAAACAGCCAGUGCAGAUUUGCUUUAAAUGGGAAAUCUUUCAAAUGACCAGUUCAAGAAAACAGAAUAUGGCAAAACAAAGUUGCACAUAAGUAAAUAUCCCAAGUAAAAUGAAGAAGUUCAUUAUAUUAAAUUCACUCAAAUCUUUGCUCCAGUGGUCACAACCUUGUUGACUGCAUGCUGUAGCCAUAGUCAGACCACAGGACCACCAGCAGCACACCUCCACCUGCCCGUACUGAGCUACCUGCCACAGUGGACAUCUGAACAGUAUGCUCCUCCAGGAUUUUUACACCUUGCCAGAUGUCACCAGUUUUCUCAAUUAGUCCCUAUUAGAGUUAUUUGUUCCACUGCAUUUGUUUUUAAAAAGUUAACUGGCAUCUCCAGGAAAUCAAAAAAUUUUCCACAUUUUUAUCUAAUGCUGGUGGCAGUUUGUUCAGAGAGUAAUUUAUAUCCUGCCAUGAAACAAGAGUGACAUUACUAAAAGCAGAAUAUUAAAAAUAAUUAUAUGGAUCACCAUUAGAUAAUGAAUAACACUUCUGCUGAUGAAGUAUCUAAAGCCAUUGUUCCGCCUAUUGCCUCUAUUCUGUAUGCCCAUCUCUAAUGUUAUGACACCGCCUUCCCGGCCUCUAAGAGCAUUGUGCCUCACUACAGUGUUACAGUAGAAGAUGUGGCAAGCCACACAGCCACACAUUCUGGACAGUUGGAGAUUGCGCACUAGGUCUGUGGAGGCGGCCAAGUCUGUGUGGACUGUGUGAUACUGUCUGUAAUCAUUACUUGUUGUUUGUUGGGGUCUGCUGUUGAACUGAAGGUGGUUUAUGAGCCGGACAUGAUUCGGAUCAUCUGUGGAGGCACUGCUGCUCUGGACCUGCUGAUUGUUGAACUGGCUGUACUCGUUACUUGUUGUCUGUGGAGGUCUGUUGGGAUACAGCCUGUCAGGGUUACUUGUUGUCUGUUGAGGUCUGUUGGGGUACAGCCUGUAAGGGUUACUUGUUGUCUCUGAAGGUCUGUUGCUGAAAUAGUCCUGGCUAUUUG